rnacentral:lncRNA from 1 species
CUCCUAUUACAACUCUAUAACUAAACCCUAGUUUGAAGAGGCACACUCAAUGUCGAUAUCCUUCAAUACUCCUCAUUGUGCCGCUCAAACUUGGUAAUGACUCUUUGAUCGUUGCCUCGUUAAAAACCUUACCAGGUAACAAAAACCCUCUGUGGGACAAAAAUAACUCUGGUCGAAGGACAAAAAGAGCACAACACGUCCUUCACUCUUCGAGAUCGAUCAUGUAAACAUCAUUCAUCUUCCUGAUGUCGACAUCUCCCCCUGAUUGCUACAAUCAUGGGAGUUCGGAUAAUUUUCUCAAUCCGAGGCUCUUCCCAUGUUUCUCCAAGGUGGAUUUAGGUAACAACUUAGUGAAUAAGUCCGCUACAUUAUCCUCUGAUCGGAUUUGAUUCACUUCAAUCUUUAGAAGUGAUUAAUGUUGUGCUGAUUGUAAAAGAAUUUAGGCGAUAGAUGC